UCAGCGGCAGCUACACAUGCAGUCGAGCGGUAGCACAGAGAGCUUGCUCUCGGGUGACGAGCGGCGGACGGGUGAGUAAUGUCUGGGAAACUGCCUGAUGGAGGGGGAUAACUACUGGAAACGGUAGCUAAUACCGCAUAACGUCGCAAGACCAAAGUGGGGGACCUUCGGGCCUCUUGCCAUCAGAUGUGCCCAGAUGGGAUUAGCUAGUAGGUGGGGUAACGGCUCACCUAGGCGACGAUCCCUAGCUGGUCUGAGAGGAUGACCAGCCACACUGGAACUGAGACACGGUCCAGACUCCUACGGGAGGCAGCAGUGGGGAAUAUUGCACAAUGGGCGCAAGCCUGAUGCAGCCAUGCCGCGUGUGUGAAGAAGGCCUUCGGGUUGUAAAGCACUUUCAGCGGGGAGGAAGGCGUUAAGGUUAAUAACCUUGUCGAUUGACGUUACCCGCAGAAGAAGCACCGGCUAACUCCGUGCCAGCAGCCGCGGUAAUACGGAGGGUGCAAGCGUUAAUCGGAAUUACUGGGCGUAAAGCGCACGCAGGCGGUCUGUCAAGUCGGAUGUGAAAUCCCCGGGCUCAACCUGGGAACUGCAUUCGAAACUGGCAGGCUAGAGUCUUGUAGAGGGGGGUAGAAUUCCAGGUGUAGCGGUGAAAUGCGUAGAGAUCUGGAGGAAUACCGGUGGCGAAGGCGGCCCCCUGGACAAAGACUGACGCUCAGGUGCGAAAGCGUGGGGAGCAAACAGGAUUAGAUACCCUGGUAGUCCACGCCGUAAACGAUGUCGAUUUGGAGGUUGUGCCCUUGAGGCGUGGCUUCCGGAGCUAACGCGUUAAAUCGACCGCCUGGGGAGUACGGCCGCAAGGUUAAAACUCAAAUGAAUUGACGGGGGCCCGCACAAGCGGUGGAGCAUGUGGUUUAAUUCGAUGCAACGCGAAGAACCUUACCUGGUCUUGACAUCCACAGAACUUUCCAGAGAUGGAUUGGUGCCUUCGGGAACUGUGAGACAGGUGCUGCAUGGCUGUCGUCAGCUCGUGUUGUGAAAUGUUGGGUUAAGUCCCGCAACGAGCGCAACCCUUAUCCUUUGUUGCCAGCGGUUAGGCCGGGAACUCAAAGGAGACUGCCAGUGAUAAACUGGAGGAAGGUGGGGAUGACGUCAAGUCAUCAUGGCCCUUACGACCAGGGCUACACACGUGCUACAAUGGCAUAUACAAAGAGAAGCGACCUCGCGAGAGCAAGCGGACCUCAUAAAGUAUGUCGUAGUCCGGAUUGGAGUCUGCAACUCGACUCCAUGAAGUCGGAAUCGCUAGUAAUCGUAGAUCAGAAUGCUACGGUGAAUACGUUCCCGGGCCUUGUACACACCGCCCGUCACACCAUGGGAGUGGGUUGCAAAAGAAGUAGGUAGCUUAACCUUCGGGAGGGCGCUACCACUUGAUCUUUCCC
rnacentral:rRNA from 1 species